rnacentral:tRNA from 1 species
CGUCCCUGGGCGGGGUCGAACCGCCGACCUCAGGUUCCGGAGACCUGCGCUCUAUCCACUGAGCUACAGGGAC